GUGGGCCCCUGUAAGGAGGGCGAGCCCCGCCUUCUCCGCACCCGAGUGGGAAAUGGAGCUCGCCGGACCCCACGGCGCCCUGUAAGCAGGGUAGUGCCGUUUCCCUGCCCCUCUUCCCGCGGCCGCUCGGCGUUGUUGCCUGCUGGUGGCCUCCCAUUGUGCCGGCCCUGUACUCGGGGUGCGUGUCCCGUCCUUUGUCCCUUGUCCACCUGAGAAGCCCCUUGGCACGUUGAGGUCUGUGGCCUCCGUGUAGCCCGCGGGCGGGUCAGAGGCUCUUGUCUGCUGCUCGUGGUCCCGCGAGUGGUGCGAGUGUCCUCUUGUCCUGCCCCUUUUUUCCUUAGGACAGAGCAGAGCCGUGUGGUAGCUGUGUGGCCGUGGCCGCCCUGUAGCCGGGGCUUGGGUCCGUGCCUGUGUGGCCGCCUGUCCUGCUGGCGUAGCGCCAGCGUGACGGCCCCGUACUCGGGGCGUGCGUCAGAAGCAAGCUGCGGAGCCCUCUGUCCCCGGAGCAGCCCGCCCCGCCUGUAACCAGGUUUGGGGAGGCUGCGUUGGUGCAGCCGGCUGCUUUAGCCAGCUGGUGGGAGCGACCCCUCCCUGGCCCGAUAGAGGGUGCAGGUUGAGGUGCUGCAGGUUGAGGCUGGGGCGACCUCCCCGCUGUGUGGGUCGAGGUUGCUCCCUGGGCUCCUGAAGACGUGGUGAUUGUGCUGCAGCCGGGCGGGCCAGCCCGUAGCUCGGGCGUUGGUUGGAGCCGCGUGCUCCGCGGGGCUUUUUGGACAUGGUGUGGCGUGGGGUACCGUCCUGUAGGCAGGGCCGUGCGUGCCCCCUGUGCUUAGCGAGAUGCGUUGUGAGGGACCCCCUGUACUCAGGCGGGUAUCUGUGGCCCGGCCUUUCAGAGGCGCGGUGCCGAGAGACGUGGGGCUGGGCUUGCACCCUCCCCGGAAUUGGGGCUCAGAUGCCGGCGUCGGCCUUUGGCCGUGCCGCCCCGCUGCCUGGCUGCCGAGAGUCGUUCCUGCUGGCGAGGGGGAAACCGAGCUCUGUGGCUCCUGGGUGUGAUCGCCCCGCCUGUAACCAGGGUCUGGGGGCGGGAGCCUUUGUGCUCUGCUGGCAGCCUGUGUGGGGUGCCCGCCCCGUUAGCGGGGUGUGGGUCCAGAUGCCCCUGACUGGGGGAGAAGGAGCCUCCCCUUGGCCUUCCGGGACCAGGGCUGCCCUGUAAGUCAGGGCUUGGCCGCGCCCUGGGGUUCCAGGCCCUUUGCAGUGGAAGCAGCGACCGGGGGCCCUCUGUAAGCAGGGGUGU